GAUGAACGCUGGCGGCGUGCCUAAUACAUGCAAGUCGAGCGAACAGACGAGGAGCUUGCUCCUCUGACGUUAGCGGCGGACGGGUGAGUAACACGUGGAUAACCUACCUAUAAGACUGGGAUAACUUCGGGAAACCGGAGCUAAUACCGGAUAAUAUAUUGAACCGCAUGGUUCAAUAGUGAAAGACGGUUUUGCUGUCCCUUAUAGAUGGAUCCGCGCUGCCUUAGCUAGUUGGUAAGGUAACGGCUUACCAAGGCGACGAUGCGUAGCCGACCUGAGAGGAGGAUCGGCCACACUGGAACUGAGACACGGUCCAGACUGCGACGGGAGGCAGCAGUAGGGAAUCUUCCGCAAUGGGCGAAAGCCUGACGGAGCAACGCCGCGUGAGUGAUGAAGGUCUUCGGAUCGUAAAACUCUGUUAUUAGGGAAGAACAAAUGUGUAAGUAACUAUGCACGUCUUGACGGUACCUAAUCAGAAAGCCACGGCUAACUCCGUG
rnacentral:rRNA from 1 species